rnacentral:rRNA from 1 species
AUUGAACGCUGGCGGCAUGCUUUACACAUGCAAGUCGAACGGUAACAGGCCGCAAGGUGCUGACGAGUGGCGAACGGGUGAGUAAUGCAUCGGAACGUGCCCAGUCGUGGGGGAUAACGCAGCGAAAGCUGCGCUAAUACCGCAUACGAUCUAUGGAUGAAAGCGGGGGACCGAAAGGCCUCGCGCGAUUGGAGCGGCCGAUGUCAGAUUAGGUAGUUGGUGGGGUAAAGGCUCACCAAGCCAACGAUCUGUAGCUGGUCUGAGAGGACGACCAGCCACACUGGGACUGAGACACGGCCCAGACUCCUACGGGAGGCAGCAGUGGGGAAUUUUGGACAAUGGGCGCAAGCCUGAUCCAGCAAUGCCGCGUGCAGGAAGAAGGCCUUCGGGUUGUAAACUGCUUUUGUACGGAACGAAACGGUCUGGGUUAAUACCUCGGGCUAAUGACGGUACCGUAAGAAUAACCACCGGCUAACUACGUGCCAGCAGCCGCAGUAAAAC